UACGUAGGGUGCAAGCGUUAAUCGGAAUUACUGGGCGUAAAGCGCGCGUAGGUGGUUCGUUAAGUUGGAUGUGAAAUCCCCGGGCUCAACCUGGGAACUGCAUCCAAAACUGGCGAGCUAGAGUAUGGUAGAGGGUGGUGGAAUUUCCUAUGUAGCGGUGAAAUGCGUAGAUAUAGGAAAGAACACCAGUGGCGAAGGCGACCACCUGGACUGAUACUGACACUAAGGUGCGAAAGCGUAAAGAGCAAACAGG
rnacentral:rRNA from 1 species